rnacentral:rRNA from 1 species
UAGUAGUAGUUAUGUUCUUGAAACUUAAAAAAUUUGGCGGUAUUUUAGUCUAUCCAGAGGAACCUGUUUUGUAAUCGAUAAUCCACGAUGGACCUUACUUAGACUUGUAAUCAGUUUAUAUACCGUCGUUAUAAGAAUAUUUUAUAAGAAUAAAAAUAUUCAAUAAUUUUUAUUAAAAUUUAUAUCAGAUCAAGGUGUAGCUUAUGUUUAAGUAAUAAUGGGUUACAAUAAAUUUAUUUAAACGAAUAAAAUUAUGAAAAAAUUUUUGAAGGUGGAUUUGGUAGUAAAAUUAUAAAGAUUAAUAAUUUGAUUUUAGCUCUAAAAUAUGUACAUAUCGCCCGUCGCUCUUAUUAUUAAGGUAAGAUAAGUCGUAACAUAGUAGAUGUACUGGAAAGUGUAUCUAGAAUGA